UCAUCAUCAUCAUCAUCUUCUUCUUCUUCCUUUGAUUAUACUUGCAAAACACCCAUAACCAGAGAGAACUUACUGCAUGAUCCUCAUCUCUAUGACAUAUAAUAAAAAUAAUAAUCCCCAUCUAAUUAUUCUAGUCUCUCCUUGAUUAUUAAGUUAUUUAUUUUGCUAAUCUUCAAACCCAACUUUCUCCCAAAUUGCAUUUCUCACCUGCCCUCAAGUCUCUCCCUUUCAAUGUCCUCCCUUUGCCUUCAUGAACAGAAAAUGAAGCUCCUCUCCUUCUGAUUAAAUAUUCAUGGGGAGGAACCCUACCUUCUUCAUCAUCAUCACCACCAUGAUCAUCAUCAUCAUAAUCAUAGUGAUCACUGUCCUUAUCUUGACCAUGAUCAUGAUGAUGAUCCAUAUAAAUCUUGGACCAAUCUGGUAUAUUCACCGGCAGUG
rnacentral:misc_RNA from 1 species